CAUACCAUCCCGAACACACCCAAUCUCCUCUGAUUUGAGAAGCUAAGCAAGAUUUUGCUUAGUUAGUACUUGGAUGGAGGCCACCAGGAAGUAUCAGGUAUGU
rnacentral:rRNA from 1 species